AUUGAACGCUGGCGGCAUGCCUUACACAUGCAAGUCGAACGGCAGCGCGGACUUCGGUCUGGCGGCGAGUGGCGAACGGGUGAGUAAUACAUCGGAACGUACCCUGUUGUGGGGGAUAACUAGUCGAAGGAUUAGCUAAUACCGCAUACGACCUGAGGGUGAAAGUGGGGGACCGCAAGGCCUCACGCAGCAGGAGCGGCCGAUGUCUGAUUAGCUAGUUGGUGGGGUAAAGGCCCACCAAGGCGACGAUCAGUAGCUGGUCUGAGAGGACGAUCAGCCACACUGGGACUGAGACACGGCCCAGACUCCGACGGGAGGCAGCAGUGGGGAAUUGUGGACAAUGGGGGCAACCCUGAUCCAGCAAUGCCGCGUGUGUGAAGAAGGCCUUCGGGUUGUAAAGCACUUUUGUCCGGAAAGAAAUCGCGCUGGUUAAUACCUGGCGUGGAUGACGGUACCGGAAGAAUAAGCACCGGCUAACUACGUGCCAGCCGCCGCGGUAA
rnacentral:rRNA from 1 species